rnacentral:lncRNA from 1 species
UCAAGUUUAACUCCAGAAAUUUUCAAAUCUUGAUAGGAUCUUACACAUGUUAAUGUGAGCUUCCAGUUUAAAUUUCAUGGUCAUCGAAGUUAUAGAACUCCGAUUAUGGCGUUUUUCGUCGGAAAAACCUAAAUAUUGAAAUGGUCAUAAUUUGUUCAUUUUAAGUCGGAAUGAGCUCAUUUUUGGACAAGAGGUACCUUAUACUGUAUACUUUCAUGUCCCAAAAG